AUGCUCACUUGGGCAGCGCAUAUACUAAAAUUGGAACCAUACAGAGAAGAUUAGCAUGGCUCCUGCGCAAGGAUGACAUGAAAAUUCAUGAAGCGUUCCAUAUUNNN
rnacentral:snRNA from 1 species